UGCUGCUGUCCAGCCUCCCUGGCCCUGUGAGAAGAGUAUUCUCCCUUGGGAUCCUGGACAUCCCACCUUUGAGAGAGAUUUACAUACACAGUAACGAAGAGCAGGAAUGUUUGGGUACCCAAGAAGACCAUCCUGCUGAAACCCCAGCAAAACUGGAUGUUUAGGUUAGCAAGGCUGGGACCUGUUUAGCAAUGUCUCAGACACAGGAGGAUGAGCCACGCAGGAGCGAAGAUUUUUCAGAACAGCAGAUUUUCUUCCACCG